rnacentral:rRNA from 1 species
GAUGGAGGGGGAUAACUACUGGAAACGGUAGCUAAUACCGCAUAACGUCGCAAGACCAAAGAGGGGGACCUUCGGGCCUCUUGCCAUCGGAUGUGCCCAGAUGGGAUUAGCUAGUAGGUGGGGUAACGGCUCACCUAGGCGACGAUCCCUAGCUGGUCUGAGAGGAUGACCAGCCACACUGGAACUGAGACACGGUCCAGACUCCUACGGGAGGCAGCAGUGGGGAAUAUUGCACAAUGGGCGCAAGCCUGAUGCAGCCAUGCCGCGUGUAUGAAGAAGGCCUUCGGGUUGUAAAGUACUUUCAGCGGGGAGGAA